rnacentral:misc_RNA from 1 species
AUGAAGGCGGCAAUUAAAACACAAAAUAAAUCCAGAUGAUAUAAGUAAGAUGGCUUUGGCAAAGAAAAAAGACUGGCAUGGCAUACUAAAGCAGAAAACAGCAUGCCUAAAUGACCGCUGUUUUGCAUUAUUAGCAUCAUAUAAUCCAGUUCAAAGAGAGGUUAAAAAUUUUCAUGAACAUCAUUCUGAUUUAAUUCCUAAGCUUUCUGAUCUUCUACAAGAGUGGAAAGAAAAACGUAAGAGACUAAAGGAAAGUAGAAAAGCACCAGAUGUUCAUAACAGGAAGAAUGAAAAAGGAAAAAAGGUCAAGUUCAAUUCUCAUGAUAAAUCUUUGCUUCAAAUAAAUAAAAAAAGUGAAGAUGGUCAGUCUUCUGCUUGUAAGCCUAUGGAAAUUAGAUCUGGAGUUUUAUCUGUUCAAACAUACAGUCUGUCAGUUAAACAAGAUUGUAAUUUUAAUAAAAAAGACAAAGAGGAAGUAUCUGAUAAUAGUGGUGAUUCUAAUGAAGAAGAAAUAAGCACAUCUGAAACUAGAACUACAGCUUUGAACACUGCAUCUAAAUUGGAAUCUAAGAUUUCAUGCUACACUGACAGUGAAAAUGAUUUUUCUCAUAGUGAAAUGGUGGACAGUUAUAUUAAAUCUGAGAAAACUGUUAAAAAAACUAAUGCAGAAAAAUAUGAUAGUGAAAAAGAAACUGAAAGCCAUCUACAUAAGAGGAAAAUAUUGCAUCAAAAGUUUAAAAUCAAGGAACCUAUACAGAAAAAUGUUUCAGCAGAUUCUGAAAGGGAAGGAAGUGAUCAAGAAGAGUGUAAUGAUGAAAAUCAUCCAUCUGAUCUUGAAAGUGAAGCAAGUUUUCAAGAAGAGUGUAAUGAUGAAAAUCCAUCAUCUGAUUCUGGAGGCAAAGCUCAUGAUCAUGUAGAGUGCAAUAAUGAAAUUUCAAAGAUUAAAUCAAGUAAAGUUUCUAAGAAAGCAAAUGAAAGAAAUACUGCUGUAAAUAAAAAUUCUAUGAAGGCUGAAGAUUCAGAACAUGUAUUUAAAAAAUCAGAAAAUAUAAAAAGUAGUCUAGCAUUACUUAGUCCAGAAUUAAAUGAAGAAAAUACCAAAUCAACGAAUGCUUUUAAGACUAUAACAGUGUUAAAUUUAGAUGAGCUGCAUGGACUUGAUGAAAUACCAAUUAUAUCUACCUGUGCAGUGGAGGAGAAUGUAGUAGAAAAUAAACAUAGAAAUGAUCCAUUUUUCUUGGGUGGAAGUGAAAUGCUUUCUGAAAAAAAUGAUAUAGAUUCUUCAAUUAAAGAAAUGAAAUAUAAAGAUUUCAAUAAACAAGAAUCAAAACAUAAAUUUUCAGGAAAGAAAAAUUUCUCAGAUUCAUUUUCACAUAGUGUCAGGAAAGGAAAAGAUGAGAAAACAUUUCAUUCAUUUGAAAGAAAAAAAGACUUUAAAAACAAAAACUACGAUUUUCAAAUGAAAAGGGAUUACAAAAGACAUAAGAAUAAUAGCUUCCAGUCAUAUCAAGAAAAAAGCUUAAAUCAUUCUGGAGCUGCCAAAUUUAAAAAUCAAAAGAAGGACUUAACUGCAGAAAAAAAUAGACCUGGAGUGCCAACUGCCCAGAUUCUUUACAGCUGGAUUGGUUGCUUCACAAGCAUAUUGGAGCAGAAGUGUGUACUUUCAACCAAUGAUCAAUAAUGACUCAAUAUUUAUGCUCAUAUUUUGGGAUAAUCUCUUUCUAAAUGGUGUUUAUAAAAGUGUUUCAACAAUGCAGAAAAAACUCCAUGCACUAGCCAAUAAUGUCACUGAGAAAGAGAAACCUCUUCAUCCAUCUUGGGAAGCUAAAAGGAAAUUAAAGGAAGUUGCUGCUUCCAACAUUAAGG